CCUACGGGUGGCAGCAGUAGGGAAUUUUCGUCAAUGGGCGCAAGCCUGAACGAGCAAUGCCGCGUGAACGAGGAAGGUCUUCGGAUCGUAAAGUUCUGUUGAAGGGGAAAAAGAGCGGAGAGAGGAAAUGGUCUCCGAUUGAUAUUACCCUUCGAGGAAGUCACGGCUAACUACGUGCCAGCAGCCGCGGUAAUACGGAGGAUGCGAGCGUUAUCCGGAUUGCUUGGGUUAAAAGGGUGCGCAGGCGGGAGAUAAAGUCAGCGGUAAAAUGUCGGGGCUCAACCCCGGCCGGCCGUUGAAACUGGUGUUCGAGAGUUGGAGAAAAGUAUGCGGAAUGCGUGGUGUAGCGGUGAAAUGCAUAGAUAGCACGAAGAACUCCGAUUGCGAAGGCAGCAUACCGGCUCCAUACUGACGCUGAGGCACGAAAGCGUGGGGAUCGAACAGGAUUAGAUACCCGAGUAGUC
rnacentral:rRNA from 1 species